rnacentral:rRNA from 1 species
GACGAACGCUGGCGGCGUGCUUAACACAUGCCAGUCGAACGGAAAGGCCCUGCUUGCAGGGUACUCGAGUGGCGAACGGGUGAGUAACACGUGGGUGAUCUGCCCUGCACUUCGGGAUAAGCCUGGGAAACUGGGUCUAAUACCGGAUAGGAGCCAUUUUUAGUGUGAUGGUUGGAAAGUUUUUUCGGUGUAGGAUGAGCUCGCGGCCUAUCAGCUUGUUGGUGGGGUAAUGGCCUACCAAGGCGGCGACGGGUAGCCGGCCUGUGGGGGUGGACGGCCACAUUGGGACUGAGGGGCGGCCCAGACUGCUACGGGAGGCAGCAGGGGGGAAGAUUGCACGAUGGGCGCAAGCCUGAUGCAGCGACGCCGCGUGGGGGAUGACGGCCUUCGGGUUGUAAACUCCUUGCGCUAGGGACGAAGCUUUUUGUGACGGUACCUAGAUAAGAAGCACCGGCUAACUACGUG